AUGGACGAAAUCGACAAUGAGGAGGAGGACGACCAGGAUCUGCGUCCCACUGCCUCCCACUUCAACACCGACCGCCUCCUCGCUUGUUCCACCGGCUCAGUCCGCUGCUCCGGCCGCCCCCCUCUGUUUGCCCACCGGCAGAGGGUUCGGCGCUUGUUUUUCCGGCGAGCAUGCUCUGGGGCGUGUGGAGGAAGGGGAAGGGAAAGGAGUAUGGCGGGGAAGGGGAAGGCAGAGGAGGUGUACGUGGCGUCGAUCGACCAGGGCACCACCAGCACCAGGUUCAUCAUCUACGACCGCCACGCCAGCCCCGUCGCCUCCCACCACCUCGAGUUCAAGCAGCAGUACCCGGAGGCCCGGACGUCAAGUAACAGGGCUGCUUCAACAUAUUUGUAG
rnacentral:rRNA from 1 species